rnacentral:rRNA from 1 species
UACGGAGAGUGCGAACGUUGCUCGGAUUCACUGGGCGUAAAGGGCACGUAGGCGGCUUGGCAAAUCGGUCGUGGAAUCCCGACGCUUACCGUCGGAACGGCGGCCGAAAAUACCGAGCUCGAGGGCGUGAGGGGUCACUGGAACUCCUGGUGAAGCGGUGAAAUGCGUAGAUAUCAGGAGGAACGCCGGAGGCGAAAGCGAGUGACUGGCGCGUUCCUGACGCUGAGGUGCGAAAGCUAGGGGAGCAAACAGG